GGCGGGUUGGCCGAGUGGUCUAAGGCGGCAGACUUAAGAAUCUUGAGUUUGUGACUCAUUUGACGAAAUCUGCUGAACGUAAGUUCGCGCGAGUUCGAACCUCGCACCCGUCA
rfam:Lipomyces starkeyi NRRL Y-11557 unplaced genomic scaffold LIPSTscaffold_4, whole genome shotgun sequence.